rnacentral:misc_RNA from 1 species
GUUUAGGCUAUGUUUGAUAGAAUAUAAUGCAAUGUAAUGUAAUCAAUUAUACAAUGAAAUGAAUGACGUAAUGUAAAAUAACUUAAUUGUCAUUCCAUUUCCAUGUUUGGUCACAAAAUAAAAAUGUAAGUUAUGUAACAUAAUGAUAUUUGUUGUUUCAAUAUUAGUUUAUUUGUGGUGCUAAUACGACAAUGGCUGCAGUGACUAGUGGCCAUAUAGUGGCAGUACCAUAGUGGUGGC